rnacentral:lncRNA from 15 species
AUGAAAUCCUGUAUGAGUAUGGGGGCGAGCCGAGUGCUGCAGCUGUCUGUUUUGCUGGUGGGACUCUGUGCCCCUCCACCAGGUGAUGCCUCCACAUCACAGGAGGCAGGUGAGGUCCCCGUGUCCCAGCUGAGGAUGCUCUCGCUGGGACUGGCUCACCUGCUGCGGGGGGUGGAGGAGAACGCCGGGCGGCUGGAGCAGCAGGGAGACCAGGUGGCAGCAGAGCUGGACGGGGCCACAAAGAGUCUGGAGGGCCUUCAAAAGCAGAGUUUACAGUCAGCACGGACUCACAGGCAGGUGAGGAAGGACCUGCAGAUACAGAGUGCCAGGGGGGACAGGCUGUGGAGGGCGGUCAGAGAUCUGCAGAAGGGGCUGGACGAUCUGGAGAUGGAGCAGGGAGCCACGCAGCACCAGAUGAACCGGAUCCUCCAGAGACUAAGGAGCCUGACCGAGCCGACUUUGGGGGAUCAAACUCAGCUGGAUAUCAACAACACUAAAGUUAUCAUGGAUAAACAGGCCCGACGGCUCGCCAGUCUCACCGCAGAGGUUUCAGCCCGAGACCGACUCAUUGACAGACGCCAGCGGCACAUUGACCACCUGGAGAGACAGGUGUCUGAGAGGCUCCCAGCAGCAUGAGGGAAGACAUGACUCCGACUGGUGAGCAGCUGCAUCAACACAGCGACUCUGAACCAAUCCGCUCUCGCUGAAAAAGACUUAAAGCCGACAGAAUGAACUGCUCUGAAACAAAGGAUGUGUCACAAUCAACAAACGCGUGUGUAAUACACACUGUGUUAGAUAAACAGACAUCCAGGUUGCUUUCCAACACAACCUGUCGAUUACAACAAAGAACUCUAUUACAGGUUGUGUUGAAAACUAUCGUCAAUGCGUGUUGUCCUCCAUUUCAAACUGGUUCAGAAAUAAAACCUUCCUGUUACUGAGUCAUCAUGUUGUGGCUCUGACUUCCACAAUAUUGUGGUUGAUGGUGGUGGUGAAACGCCUUGUGAAGAAACUUGCUCAUACACACCCAAAUAAACUGAGGAAACCUUCAGGCUAACAACACUCAUCAUCGAAAAAUAAAGAGUCAAAUCACGUGAAAGAACACAGUAAUAUGAAUAACAGUUGAUUGGCAAAAUAUCCAGCAAAGACAGUGGGAUAUUAUUUCAGUAGGUUAUGAUAAAAAUAGUGGUUCACGCUGUUUACAGCCUAUAUACUGUGAUUGUGACUGUACAUAAUAAUAAUGAUAAUAAUAAAAAUAAUAAUAACCAUUACAUAACAUGACAUUUUUUAGACAUGUUUAUCUAACUGUCCUUAUAGGUCAGGCUCAAGGCACUCAGUCUUUUAGUCUUACAAUCAUCUUUGAAUGAAAACAUGAUAUGAUAGAGAGAGUCCACCUGUUCUCACAGCAGUUUACUCUGUUUCAUUUUCUAGAAAUUACUAGCAAUUUGUGUCCUGAAACCAAGUGACAUCAUUUCAUUAUUUUCAAGGGGAAUUCAUCCGAAUUUACUCAUCAAAGUGUGUUUACACAUUGUGUCGUCGGGGAGUACUCUAAUCUAAAUCCACUAUGACGUUAACCAUUAAUCUGUGGUGGCAUUCUGGCCGUCGCUAUGUUGAUUUUUUGGAGAUAUGAGUCACCAUAUUUGUAGUCUCUGUCCUGACUAGAUCUGACUGAGAACCCAAAAUCUGGGCAAUUUUAUACCGGGAAAUGCACCACUUAACAGCAUAUCUUUAAGAAAUCUAUUCAAAAUGUAUGUAUUGUCAAAAGAUUUUAAAGAUAUUUAACAUAUAUAUAUAUAUAUAUAUAUAUAUAUAUAUAUGUGUGUGUGUGUGUGUGUGUGUGUGUGUGUGAUUUAAAUCUCGAUGUGAUAUGAGACAUGGUUCCAGUUGUUUUGUUUGAAAUAAUUUGAUUGGCUUCAGCUCCUGUCACUGUUUAAAGGUCUCAUUCACUGAAGGCCUCCUGAUUGUUUUUUUCUCACCCUAAUGAUGGAACAUGAUUAUCUAAUCACCAUUAGAGCCACCAAUUAGGGUGUGGCCUAUAUAAAAUAGCAGUGCCUGUGUCUUACUAUGACUGUUGAGCUUGACGAAGGCCGAAACAUCAUCAUCUGAAUAAAAAACUAAUUCAUAAGGAACAAGAGGGUGCAACACGUUUUUCCUACUCUCACUAAGCAGCUAAUGUAGCAUUGAGCUGCUAGCUUCAAGCAGAGAGGGCUACAGAAAUCUGGUAAGUUUACGUCUUUCUAACUCCACACCCUUUUUCACUUGUCGUCUUCAGCCCCAACAGGCACUGACUCAAGUGACAUCACUUAAGGCAAUUUGUCAGAUUUCACACCGCUCCCUCUGGACUAUGGAUGUAUUAAAGGAGAACUGGAUACAGUGUUGGAGAUGAGGCUCCGUUCAGUCUUAUGGAGGCAGUUCAGUGUCGCAUAAAAUUAAAAAAGGUUUGAUUUCCUGGUAUGAAAUAACCCGGAUCUUCUGCAUUAUUUCCACAUUGUGGGGCUUGUAGAGCAAGUCCACUAGAGACUUCCCCUGGUCCGUUAACUUCCAGUUUAGCCCUCCACUGACUCGAAAUUAACAAUCCACUUCAGAUAGUAAAUCCUAUAGAGAUACAUUUUUCAAACACAUACAUUUUUAAUUUGCUCAACUAAUUUUGCUGUUUAUUUUUAUAUCACAUUUCAUACACAAAAGCAAUUCUAAAGCUUUACAAAAUGCAUCAAAAAUGUUCCAAUAAAAAUAACACAGGAUAAAAAUUUUACAUUUAAAAAAAGGAUUGGGAUCAAGAGAAAAACACAUGAUUGGGACUUUUAAAAUCCCUUUUUGGUUGAAGUGUUUUCAGCUUGUUAAUGAGGGGGGUGAAGUCUCAAAGAUUCAGACCCAUGGCCUUACAUACUGAUAUAUUACAUACUACAUAUUAGAGCAUCAAACCCAAACCAGCAGCUCGGCACGCUCACAGCUGUAUCGCUGCCUAAUAUGACAAAGAUUGUGUGCUGAAUCUUGGAGGACUGAGCUGAUAUCUGAUGGCCUCAAGUCCUGUCUUGACGGCCGACUGGCAGGCAGCCUGUCCCCUCUGGUGUUCCCAAACAAACCUCCAACAACUCGAACUCUGUCCCACUUAAAAGGAAAAAUGACAAAUAGCUGGGGAGGAGAGAAAAAGAGGAAGAAAAACAGCGGUGCGAGGGAGGGUAGAGCAAUAGAGAGUAAAUAAUAAUACAAAAGAGAUUGCAAAAAGUGAGGAAGGAACUAGAGCAACAAAGGAAACAAAGUGGGGGAAGAAAAAAAUUAAAAUGCAAGUUCUCAGACAAUCAACAGGAAUAUAGUACACAGCAGCUCAGAUUGUUACCAUAAAGUAGAUCUACAGAAGAUUAAGUGGUCCAUUUGGAACUGGAAGGUGUGACAGAGCUGCAACAGCGCCCCCUAGAGGUCAGAGGGAAACACUGCCAUUGUAUCCGACAAGUCAUUUUUAUGCCAGGCUGUAACCUACUGAACAUGUCUAAUCAAAGUAUUCUCAGGGCUCCUUAAGCUCUUUAAAUAUCCUACAAAAGCAACCCCCUUCUCUGCUCUGUGGUCACUUUGGAACAAAGAACAAACAACUUGGCUCAGUUCUACCGCUGUACGCUGGACAUUUUCAAAAUUGCUGCACUUUUGACAAGUUUAAGUAGAGACACAGAGUUUUUGCAUAAUGUCUAAUGUGAACUUAUUUUACAUGCAGGAUGGUCCAGAGGUAAAAGAGGCCCGCCAGCAACCGAAAGGUCACUGGUUUGAUGGCCUAAGAGGCCUUGAGCAACCCCAGCCUCUCUGAUCUCUGAUGUUAUGCAUAUGUGUGGGGGACUGUAUGUGUAACUAGGAAGGAUGUGCGAAAAGAUAAGAAGUAAUCUUCUUCUACACCCAAAUUUUCUCAAUAAUAGUACACCGCCUAACCUCUGCUGAUACAUACUUUAAUAGCAGUAUGAGAGAUUGUUUUGUUUAAUGAUGGUUAUAUAAAAAAAGAAAAGCCCAUUUUAUUGUAUAUGAUUCCUGAUGGUGUAUGUGUAAGCUUGGUGCUCAUUUAGCAGUGAAUGCUGCACACAGAACACUACACCACUGUGCCACCCCCCGAAGUGAACACUGGUCUCGGCCCAGGCACUCCUAUGAAAAUGUGUUGGCUUUGCCACUGUUGUGGGGUAGAGUGAGGGAGCUAAUGUGCAGCCUGGAAAGACACUAAAGAGGCUAUGUUUGUUGAUUUGAUGUGUACAACAACCGCAACUGUUCACAGAUGUGUCUGUGGAGCUGUGAACAGUAACCGUGGGUCAAAUCUAAUCUUUUGUUCCAGUUCCCACCUUUUGUGCUUUCACAAUGUGCAGUAUGUGUACAAUAAAUGAUGUGUCACUGAAGCUCAGUUUAAUUUAAAUGAGCAGAACUGAGAGAAAGAUAAAGGCAGAGGAAGAGAGAGAUACACACAAUAUGAGACAUACUGUGGAUGUAGAUAGAAGGAGAGAAAACAGAGGAAACAGAUGAGGAGGAGGAGAAGAGAAGGAGAAAUUGCUGAUUAUAGCAUUCAUCAUGAAAUAUUGCAAACUGCAUGUUCUUUUACUAUAAGCCUGCCAACUGUUAAGUUAGAUGUCAGUGACGUCAGUACAGCAUAGUAGGUGCAUUAUUAGUUUGCUAGAUGCAUCAGUGUGUAAGCAGCAUUUUAGUGUUGUGGUUUUAAAUGCUUUAUAUACAGUGAGCUAGUUUAGCCCAGUGAUUCCUAACAUAGGGGUCAAGUCUCCUUCAAAGGGUCACAAGAUAAAUGUGAGAGUCCAUGAGCUGAUUAAUGGUAGAGGAAUAAAGAAUUACAAACAAAUCUGUAUUUAUAUUUUGGACUUUUCCUUAAUAAUACCUAUGAGUAUUAUAUUCCAUUUCUGCCAAUUGAUCCUCCGAAAUGUUACACACUGGACCUUUAACUACAGUGCUUGAGUUAAUGUUACACCCCUGGUCCAGCUGAAGUUAGUUGCAUGUCAUUUCCCUCCUCUCUUUCACCUCAUUUCCUAUCAUAUGUCUAUUGUCUUCUGUCUAAUAAAGGCAAUAUAAAAUAAAUAGUUAGGAAUUAGAACUAUUCUUUGACCAAAUUCAUAGUUAAUAGUUAAAAGUUAAAAGCUUUAAUUGCUUUACUAUAUAGUCACACAGUCAUCAUUAUCAUCAUAUUAACAAUUAAACAUGUUUUGUUUCACAAACUGAUUACACAUUAAAAAAAAAAAAAAGAAGUAGAAACAGAAACAAGGUCAAAUGUAAAUAUCACAAUUCAGUAAUAAGUGUAUAAUAUGCAAUAAAAAGUAGCCAAUAA